rnacentral:lncRNA from 1 species
CCUCCAUCACUAUGAUCUUCAACCAAAGUUACAAUCCUCCUAUUUGGACAAUCCGAAGCAAUAUGCCCAAAACCAUGACAUUUGAAGCAUUUUCGGCCACUUGGGGUAGAAGAAUUAGGUGUUUUUUUGUUGCCAGCAGACUCUUCACCCUUUUCUUGCACCUUCGAUAUCACCUUGCUUUGGACAGUAGGCUUGGAACUUCCUCC